AGGGGCAUUCCACUCCAAAAGCGGAUAUCAUAAUUCAUCAGAGAAUAAAUUGUUAUGCUUGAAUCAAGUUUGUUUUGUCAAAUGUACCAUGAGUUGAAGCCUGAACGCAGGGCGUGCAUUAUAGCGAUCGACUUCUUGAAUUCCCCGCGGGUCCCUUACCAACAAUCCCAGAAUUCAAUGCGCAUGGUGUGUUACGGACGGGCUGGAUCGACGAAGCCGCCAAGGACUCUUCCAGUUGAAAAGAAAAGAGAAGGACGUGGUCGAGGAAAAGCCCAAGUCAAAAGUUGACCUAAGGCAGCGGUUGGACUACAGUAAGACGACUGGUCAAAAACAUCUAUGAGAAGAAUCAGGACUACACUUUCAAAAAGAAAGGUGUUGAAGGCUGUCAUACACAGGCGUCGGGAGUUUUGUGGUGACUAGGUGCUCCAAAAGCCUGACUUUCCAGGCCAGACAAUAACACUGCAAUUGCACAGUACCGUUCAAGGUUUACA